UGUCCAGUAGCACCUUAGAGACCAGCUGAGUUUGUUCUGGGUAUAAGCUUUUGUGUGCAUGCACGAAACAAACUUAGCUGGUCUCUAAGGUGCUACUGGACA